rnacentral:lncRNA from 1 species
UGGGGGAGCCUGGGUCAAUAGGGAUUGAAGGUGGGCUCACAGUGAUUGGGGGGCUACCACCUCCAUAAGUUGGUGGUGAGUUGUAGUACCCACCACCUCCUGAGGGAGGAUUUGAUGGUGUUGAAGGGGUUGAUGGUGUCGUCGGGACUGAGGGCGUUGGAGUAGAGGGUUCUUGUGGUGGAGUUCCACAAUUGCUACCAUCAGGUGGCGAUGGGGUUGGAUUGUAACUUCCACCACCCUCAGGUGGCGAUGGGGUUGGAUCAUAGCUUCCACCACCUGGGGGAGUUGAUGGGGUUGGAUUGUAAUAUCCACCACCUGAGGGUGGUGAUGGGUUUGGGUCAUAACUUCCACCACCAGGGGGAGUUGAUGGAGUUGGAUUGUAACUUCCACCAUCAGGGGGAGUUGAUGGGGUUGGAUUGUAACUUCCACCAUCAGGGGGAGUUGAUGGGGUUGGAUUGUAACUUCCACUUCCACCACCGUCUGAGGGUGGUGAUGGGGUUGGGUCAUAGCUUCCACCACCUGGAGGAGUUGAUGGAGUUGGAUUGUAACUUCCAUCACCACCUGGGGGAGUUGAUGGGGUUGGAUUGUAACUUCCACUUCCACCACCUGAGGGUGGUGAUGGAGUUGGAUCAUAGCUUCCACCACCUGGGGGAGUGCAUGGGGUUGGAGUGGAACUUCCUCCACCUCCAUGCGAUGGGGAUCCAUGAUGUGAUGGGGAUCCAUGAUGUGAUGGAGUUCCAUGAUGAG